GACAACAACAACAACGCUAUUAUCAGUCUUGUGACUAAUCUACUUUAUUUUCCAACACAAACAAGUAUGAAACUGCAACUUCUAUGUUAUUUCAAAACUGUUUUUAAUCAAUUUUGUGCUCUCUUCAAAGUGACGUUUAUAAAUAAUGCUUUCAUUAUAAGCAGCUAAGCAGCAGAAAAAAGAAUGGAGUCGUCUAGUCUGUAUUCAGACCGAUGUUUUCUUCACAGCAAAUAAUUAUACAAAUGUUGCAUAAUUAUGCACGCCUUAGAUAAUAAAAGAGUUAAGAGAGGAGAUACAGAGUACAAGUAAAAGCGAAAAAGUAGAAAUUAAAUUUAAAAAAAAGAUUCAAAAACAAACGUUAACAUUAAACGUUGUGCAAGAAGUUUAGGGUAUGGUUGCUAAAACAUGCUACAUUUUUGACUCCGUCUUUAGUUGCAAUUGAAAUACUUUGAACGUUCACUUAGCAGGUACAUCAUAGAAUUAUAUGCAGUGUAAUGAUAUGAAGUAAACUGAAAGCGUAAAUUUCUGUGUAUUUCACAGCAUUUCCUGUAAUUUACCGACUCCCUGGUCCGCUAUCUAGGCAUUGCAUUACGGUAUACACGUAGCUCUAGGGACACUAAUACUCGUUGUUUAACCACUUCUAUGAAUGUGUAAGAAAUAUAUAAUAUUAAGAACACUGUGUCAGUGUGAUAAGCACGUUUUUGAUAAUAUAGUCGGAUAAUAUAUUCGUGUUACUCUUUAUUUUAUUGAGAAGUUACUAAACAAUGAUGUUGUGAUCGACGGGAAAACAAUUAUUUGGAAUGUCCAAACUUGAAUGGGAUUGAUUAAAAGUUCAAAAAUGCCAAAUACUGGAAAAGCCGAUGACAGUGACAAAAGGCGCUAAUCGAAGAAAAUAUAUCAGAGACGAACAAUUACACAUGAAUAAGAUAUCCAUGAUCAAGAGAAGAACGAAUAUGCAUGCAUAACAUCCCAGGUCAAAUAUUGAACAAGGAUCGGAAGAAAGAAUAGAUUUAGACAUUUGUGAAAGGAACAAUGGGAACUUUGGAAGUUUACUCUUUCUGAAACGUAUAACUACAACAAAGAUGUGAUCAUUGUAUUAGAAACUGAAUUUUCCAGUCUUCUAGUGGUUUAACUAGCAUACCAAGAUAUAUACCUUCAUGCUUUUAUACACUUAUCUUUUUCAUAUUUUUUUAUUUUUAUAAUAUAUUUGAUCGAAGUAGCAUUGAAAAAAAAAGGAAUAUAAAAAUAUUUAAGAGAAAGUUACUACAUUUUGUACUUGGAAUAACUUAAAGGGGAGAUACGACGUUUCAUUGAUUCUUGAUAUUAGCACAAUUGUAUGUGAUAUCGAUAUCUCAUUUUUAUGGAAUAUAGCGGAAUUGAGAAACAUCGGUUGGACAAGCGAUGCGACCUUGACUCAGCCCAUAUAUUUACUCGUAUAGAAUACCUUUUUGAUCUUAUUUGAAAU